rnacentral:rRNA from 1 species
GAAUAUUGGACAAUGGGGGGAACCCUGAUCCAGCCAUGCCGCGUGUGUGAAGAAGGCCUUUUGUUGGUAAGCACCUUAAACGAGGAGGAGGCUAACUCAGGUAAUACCUAGAGGAAGGUGACCUUACUCGCCGAAUAAACCACCGCUAAACUCUUGCCAGGCGCCCGCGGUAAUACAGAGGGUGCAAGCGUUAAUCGGAUUUACUGGGCGUAAAGCGCGCGUAGGUGGCCAAUUAAGUCAAAUGUGAAAUCCCCGAGCUUAACUUGGGAAUUGCAUUCGAUACUGGUUGGCUAGAGUAUGGGAGAGGAUGGUAGAAUUCCAGGUGUAGCGGUGAAAUGCGUAGAGAUCUGGAGGAAUACCGAUGGCGAAGGCAGCCAUCUGGCCUAAUACUGACACUGAGGUGCGAAAGCAUGGGGAGCAAAC